rnacentral:lncRNA from 10 species
UACAUUUGAAACAUUAGUAAUUCCACAAUAAAUCUCCAGUUGUUCAGCAGCCUAGUAAUUACAGGGCCAGAACCAAAGCAAACUAUGAAAAUAUUCAUGAACAUCUAAAAGUCCAAGGCUCUAUGUCUUUCCUUUUUACCACACGUAUUGCUUUGUCGGUAAAGCUCUGCAUAAACUAUUGCAUAUGAUGCAGUGAGUUACUCCCUGAGGCUCUGCUGUGGGGUCAGGGCCCGGCCUGAGAAGAGUGUGGUGACUGGCUGGCUGCCUUGUGGGCUCCUAUCAUCUUUAGCUGCUUCCCCUGACCAUGAAGUUCAUACUCCAUGGGAUUCCAGCUGAAUUCUUUGGACAGAAUUUUAAAUCCUUGUUCCCCUUCCCCAGUAGGAAAAGCAUCAAAAAACAAUAAAAAUAGUGCAUCUGACUUUUUUUACCUAGGGAAUGCCUAGAGGAGAAAAUGAUUUAAUGAAUCAAAGACUCUGGUUACCAGUGGGGCAGGAUCCAGAACGACGAGGUCAUCCAUGUUUGCCUUUGGCGCUCCCAGUUUCGCCUCCUCCUCCUGUGUUGGUGCACCCCUGUGCUCUCUAGAAUCGUACCCCACAACUCUCAGAGCACCUCACCUCACAGUCUAAACAUCCUCUUCCUCUUCCCUCCUUCUGACUACAGGCGAUGGUUAUGAGGGCCACGUUCAUUGUGCUGCAUGUAAAAUAAUCAGGUAACCAGUUUUAGAAGACUGAAUUUUAACAGGCGUUCUCUUUUGGAAUGACAGAUACCUAACUCAUAGAAAUGACCUGUAAUCAUGGCCUGGGUUAGGAACAAGGAUUUGGAGGAAGAAAGUGCCUUCAAAUCACCCUGCAAAUAGUGUUGUCUACUCAGCCACAGGAAGACAAGCCCUGGGGAUGCAUUCAGCAGGCAGCAGGUCCCGCGGGUUCUACAGCUUCAAAUUACUUGGAGCAAAUGAGGCUUUUCAGCUUUGCUUGCUCAAUGCCAAGCUCCACACUUUAGAAGGGGAUCCUUGUAUACCUGACUCACCACCCGAAGGAAAUGUCUUCAGAGAUGUUCACUGCCCCAGGUAGGGCCCAUGCUCCACGUAAGGCCAUCCGCUCCAGGUGUAAUCGUGCCAGGCUCCAUUGCCCAAUAUGUGGCAAGUCAAUACAUGGAGACACAAAGAAUUGUAGCAGAGAAAGAAGUUUAAUCAUCAGGGAUUCAAACAAGGAGCCACCCCUUGGCUACUCACCAUGUCUACGAAUACAUGUUGGUGGAAUGUCCUGACCUUGGAGGAUGAACCCAGGGAAGAGGCUGCCCAAGACACAGGGGCAGAUGCAGGGCCAUAGUGGAAGGAAUUCUGGGGACACCGGGACCCAGAGCAUGACCUGGAAGGUAGGACAAUGGGUUCCAGAUGGAAACGUGUUCUUGGUCCUGCAGAGCAUACUCCCCAUGGGGAAGAACAACAAGAAGAGCAUGUCCUAAUAUGUGAGGACCAGGGCACGAGCUCUUUUUCAAUGGUACUGCUUCUCCACCUACCCAGCCUUACCACUGACCACCUCAUAGCUGUGCUUAGUAAGAACAAAGCACAUCUCACAUCCUGUACCUAACAGGAUACCUUUCACCUCUCUGCUCUUGCUGGAGCAAUACUCAUGUAUGUGCUGUAAAGCCAUUGAUUCUUCAUCUUUUUAAACUGUAUUUUCUAUUUUUUUGUGCCCCUAAACUUUUGGGCACAGCAAGCUGUUAAUUACUGGUAAUUGAUUAACUGGCCUGAUUUUGUGACAUGAACAUGGAGAGCAUUAAUUAAAUUAAAGAAUUGAAAGGCACCAUGUUUUAUUCAUUAACAAUGGGUAGAAAAUAUCAGACAGUCAUGAGGAAUAUAAUCCACUCAAGGGUCAGCUGUUUUCCCACCAGAUAUGAGGGCAUUAGAAAGUGACAAUAAUAAAGACAUGCCAUUCUGGAACUAGAAGAGAUAUUCAGAUCAGUGAAGUAAAAUUAUAUAGGAACAAAAAGGUCUGUGCUAGCAUCAUGAUCUCAGCAAGGUAAGCAGGACAGUAUUAAAGGUGCUCUCACUCUCUGCCUGAAGGCUUCCUGAAAGUGUUAACAAUAUAAUUACUAGACACUGAAUCUUGGGGAGUAGUUGGAGUCUAGGUGCCCAUUCUGACCAAGGAAUCUGUUGACAGUGCUCACCUUGGUUUACCUUCACAAAGGCAGCAUUUCCUUACUUUCAAGAAGCUUGAUGUCUAACCUGGCCUCUUCACCAUGGAUAAAACACACACAAAACGAGAACUCAGUAGAACAGUGGCAACCCUACUGAUUUUUAAAGGAUGCGGAUUUCAACAAAGAAUCUACCCUGUUCUUCCGUAGAAGAGCCCAGUGGGUGGAAUGAUGCCCCUCACUCAAGGUGAGGGCAGAGCUUGCAAGAGAACUGAUCAUUAAGUCCUGAAAAAGGCAGUGAGAACUUACAAGGGCAUGGUACGUUUUGUAAGAUCUCACAGAAGACCCAGGUCACUGAAAACUGGAAGAUGCAUUUGCAGUGUAGAAAGCAUUUUAGCUGGGUGAAACUGCACUAAUUAAGAUGCAUCAUGGGUAGAGGGGAAAUUAAAGAACCAGAAAAGAAACAAUUACUGUUUUAGAGACAUAAGUGUCUGCAUUCAAAUACCAACUCUACCAUUUAUCAUUUGUACUAACUUUGGAUGACUUUGAGAAUUUUUUUUUGUCUCAGGAUUCUUAUUUUUAAAAAUGCAGAGGCUAUUUGGUAUCAGCAUCAUAAUGGGAUGCAAAAUGAAACAGAAUAAUAAUUAUAAAAAAGUUUAGGACAAUUUAUGAAGAACUUGCAUGUACUUCUUCUCAUGUGGGAUGCUGUUGCAAUAUAUCCUUUUUUUUAAGGUAGAUUGAUCAAUUCAAAGCAUAAAAUAAACUGAUAAAAGUGGAUGGUACGGGCACAACUGUAGAUAAUCACUAACUUGCAAACAACAAUCUGGAAAGAAGAGGUGUUUUGUCCACCUUGCACACGUUAUAAGUUUCCUCUAAUCUGGCAACUUUAUUAUCCCCAACAUCUAUGGAAUAAGUCAAAUUCACGUAUUACAUAGACUCAGAGAAUCUCAAAGGGCAUAGAAUGCAUCCAAGGAUGCCAAUCUAACUCAUGCAACCAUAUGUUGAUGAUCUGGGGGAGGAAAGCUUAUAAGCAUUGCAAAUUGCUACCAGGCUAUUGCAGCUUCAACGGCAAUGUGGAGACUUAUUCUUCCCACAUUUUUGUUCCCUAAAGCAGAGUAUAUUUCAAACUUUUGAAUCUUUCAUUUCCAUUUCUCUACCACAAGAAGAUAUAAAGCCGCUCAGACACUUGCCGGUUAAAGUACUUGAGCUCCAGGAUAAAUACUUAGGAAUAGAGCCAGUCAGAUUUGUCUCCCAGCUUUUGUCCCUUUUCUCUUCUAGUGAGGAAAUUGCACCUCAUUAGCUUUGUGACUUUAGAAAGCCACUUCACCUUUCUAAAUCUCAGUUUCUUCAAUUGCAAAGUAGUAAUGAUAUUUAAAACACAUCACUGCUAUUAGGGUUGCACAGAGUAACCCUUAGCUUUUAAAUCACUUCCAGAGUGCCUGGUGCAUAAAUAGAAGCCAUAACUCUUAUUAUACCCUUUGCUCUUCACACUGUAUUGUUUAGCUUCCUUGUUUUAUAAAUUAUGGCAUUGUUUAUAUAAAAAUGAAAUGCUUAGAUAUUCAAGUUAAUGAGUUCUGACAAAUGUAUAUACCUGUAUACCCACUUCAUACAACAAGAUAUUGUUUCCAACAUUCCUGAAAGUUUUUUUGUGUACCCUUCCAGUAAGUUUCCCCACCUCCCAUUGAAAAUCAUUUCUAAACUCUAGCAGAUUUCUAGCUUAAUCUAGCAUCGAUUACUUUUGCCUGUUUGUAUGGUAUAUCAAUGAAAUUAUAUGACAUCUCAUCCUAUGCAUCUGCCAUGUUCACUCAAUUUAAUGUUUUUGAGAUUCAUCAUCCAUAUUGUUGCAUAUAUUAAGCUAGUAGAUUUCUGAUUGCUAAGUAUGAAUAUAUUACAAUAUAUUUAGCUAUUUUCCUGUUGAUUGACAUUUGGAUUAUUGCUAAUUUCAAGCUAUUAUUAAUAAAACUGCUAACAUUCUUUUCUUGCACAAGUUGUUUUGUUGAUAUAUGUUUCCUAUUUUUCUUUUUCUUUUUUUUUUUUCAGAGAAAGAGUCUCUCUCUGUUACCCAGGCUGGAGUGCAGUGAUGCAAUCAUAGCUCACUGCAACCUCAACUUCUUGGGUUCAAGUGAUCCUCCAGCUUCAGUCUUCUGAGUAGCUGAGAUUAUAGGUACUCACCACCCCACCUGGCUAAUUUUUAAAAAUUUUUUGCACGACAGAAUCUCGCUAUCUUGCCCAGGCUGGUCUCAAACUUCUGGCCUCUAGUGAUCAUCUGCCUUGGCCUCCCAAGUGCUGGGAUUAUAGGCACGAGCCACUGUGCCCAGCCUGUAUAUAUGUUUUUAUUAUUAUUCAGGGUAAAUAUUAUUAUUAUAUUAAAUUAAAUAUUACUCAGGGUAAAUGCCUAAGUGUUGAAUUUCUGGGUCAUAGAGUAGAUACAUGUUUAACAUUAUAUAUGCUAAAUCGUUCCCUGAAGUGGUUGUAUUAUUUUUCACUUCUGACAGCAAGGUAUAGGAAGCUCAGUUGCUGCACAUCUUUGCCAGCCUGUGCUAUUCUCAGUCUUUCUGUUAUAGCUGACCUAGUGUAUGUAAAGUGGUAUUUUAUUAUUGCUUAUUUUGAAUUUCCCUGACUGCAGUGAUUUUGAGCACCUUUUCUUGUGCUUACUGGUCACUGAGUUAGCUCCUUCUCACUAGGGUCUUUUUGAGACCUUAUCUAUUUUUUUUUUCAAAACUGGGUCUUUCUUUUAAUUAUUGAUUUACAGGAAAUUUUUAAAAUAUGUUAUGAGUAAGAGUGUUUUUUUAGAUAUAUAAUGAAUAUUUUCAGGCUGUGAUUUACCUUCUUAUUGUCAUAAUGAUAUGUUUUUAAGAGAAAAAAUUUUAAUUUUGACAUAAUUCAAUUUAUGUAGUUUUUUCUUUCAUUAUUAAGGCUUCUUUUUUUCUAAGAAAUCUGGCUAAACUCAGUGUGGAAAGAUAUUCCUUUAUGUUUCUUUAUGGAAGUUUUUUUUUUUUUAAUUCAAGCUUUUACAUUCAUGGCUCUGAUCCAUCUUGAAUUAGUUGUUACACACGGAGUGAGUAGGGUACAAUGUUCAGCUUUUUCCCAACAGAGUAUUCAGUUGUUCCAAUACAUUUUGUCUAUAAGGCUCCUUUUUGUUUUUGUUCUUUCAUAAAAAUUUAAGGGGUACAAGUGCAGUUUUGCUACAUGGAUAUAUUGUGUAGUGGUGAAGUCUGGGCUUUGGUGUACCCAUCACCUGGAUGAUGUACAUUGUACCCGUUAAGUAAUUUCUAUCCCUUGCCCCUCCCACCUUCCUACCCUUCUGAAUCUCCAGUGUCUGUUAUUCUACACUGUAUGUCCCCAUGCACGCAUUAUUUAGCUCCCACUUAUAAGUGAGAACAGGAGGUAUUUGGCUUUCUGUUUCUGAGUUGUUUCAUUUAAAAUAAUGGCCUCUAGUUCCACCCAUGAUGCUGCAAAAGACAUGAUUUAAUUCUUUUUAAUGGCCGAAUAGUAUUCCAUUGUAUACAUUUAUCACAUUUUCUUUAUGUAAUCACUUAGGUUGAUUCCAUGACUUUGCUGUUGUGAAUAGAGCUGUGAUAAACAUGUGAGUGCAGGUAUUUUUUUUUACAUAAUUUCUUUUCCUUUGGGUGGAUACUCGGAAGUGGAAUUGCUGGAUCAAAUGGAGGUUGCAGUUUUAGUUCUUUGAGAAAUCUCUAUACCAUUUUUCAGAGAGGUUGUACUAAUUUACAUUCCCACCAACAGUGUAUAAGCAUUCCCUGUUCUCUGCAUCCUCACUGAUAUCCAUUGUUUUUUGACUUCUUAGUAGUAACCAUUCUAACUGGUGUAAGAUGAUAUCUCAUUAUGAUUUUGAUUCACAUUUCCCUGAUGAUUAGUGAUGUUGAAUAUUUUUUUUCAUAUGCCUGUUAACUGUUUGCAUGGAAAAGACUCCUUGGCAACUUGGACAUAAAAUAAUUAUUGGUUAAUUUGCAGGUCUAUGUCUAGACCCUGCUCUUUUUCAUUGAUUUAUUUGGUUUGUCCUUAUACAAAUACUACAUUUCCUUGAUUGCUGUAGUUUUGUAGUAAAUCUUGUUUAAGGUCACUAAAAUAGGCCUAUCUCUUCUUUCCAACCUAUAUGGCUUUUUUUUUCUUGCCUUAUUAUCCUACCUAUGACUAUCAGCAUAAUGUUGAAUAAAAGCUAUGAGAGUUGGUGUCAUUACUGUUUUCUGGUUUCAUGUAAAAUAUAUCCAAUAUUUCACCAUAAGUUAUGAUGUUAACUAUUGGUUUUUCAUAGAUAUUAUGAUAGAUUAAAGAAGUUGCUUUUAUUCCUAGUUUUCUGAGAGUUUUAAAAAAUCAUGAAUAGGUAUCAAGUUUUGUCAUGUGCCUUUUCUGUAUCUAUCAAGUUACUCGUAAGAUUUUUUAUUCAGUUAAUGUAGUAAAAUAUGCUGAUUUGGAAUGUAAGUAAGCCUUACAUUCUUGAAUUAAGUGUCAUGCAAAUGAUAUGUUAUCCUUUUUAUGUAAGGCUGGAUGUGAUUUACUAAUUUUUGUUAAAGACUUAUACAUCUAUGCUCAUGACAGAUAUGGUCUAUAAUUUACCUCUUUGAUGUCUCAAGUUUGGAGUCAGGGUAUUGCUAGACUCAUAAAAUAAAUUGGUACAGAUUGACCUAAAUGGAACUCUGAAAAAUACUCACUAUAUAAUCUAAUUGCCAAGUCCAACCCCCAUUAUCAAAUUAAUGAGCAAAACGCAGAAUAAUUUUUGUCAGAAAAAUAUUCCUUUAUUUUUCAAUUCAAAUAAACAUUAUUGAUAUGCACUCCUUUGAUAACCGUCUUCUAAAUUAUAAUUCUAAGAUAGAUAGGUAAAUAAAUAGAUUUAGAUGAAGACACACACCUUUGUUGCUAUAAAAGUGACACACCCUUGCCUUCAAUAUUCCUUAUAGAUAUUUUCUUUGCUUUGCCCUCAAAGACUCAUCCUCAAUAGCAAUACAGUCUUUGACAAGACCAAAAGAGGGAAGACAUAAGGACACACGCAAAUAAAAGUUGUUAAAAUUCUGCUAUUCCAUUCAAUAAUAUAGCUGUACUCCAAGCAUUGACAACAUUUUAAACCUAAACCCGUCAUUUCUAAUACCACGAUUUGCUCUGAACAGAAAUAUGCAUAAUGUGUGGAAAGUCUAGAAGUCCAACCGGGAUGAUUCAACUUUAAAUAAAGAAGGCUACUGAGGCUAUUCAUACCA